rnacentral:rRNA from 1 species
UACGUAGGGAGCAAGCGUUGUCCGGAAUCAUUGGGCGUAAAGCGCGCGUAGGUGGCCCAGUAAGUCCGUUCUGAAAGUCACAGGCUCAACCUGUGAAAGCGGAUGGAUACUGCUGGGCUAGAGUCCGGAAGAGGCGAGUGGAAUUCCUGGUGUAGCGGUGGAAUGCGCAGAUAUCAGGAGGAACACCAACGGCGAAGGCAGCUCGCUGGGACGGUACUGACACUGAGAGACGAAAGCUAGGGGAGCAAAUGGG